UUAAUUCUGUACUUUGAAAUUAGAUACAAAUUAGAUAGAGAAAAACAAAGAAGAUGGUUAGAUAGAGAAAAACAAAGAAGAUGAACAGAUAGAGAUAGAGAGUGACUUAUCUGUCAUAUUGAAGUACCGCAGAUAAAUCAGUAAUGCGUCGGCUGUCAUAUUGAUCACACGCAUUAGCUUUCAGUCAAAUUUAGGAGCAAUAUGAAAUGACCAGAAUACCCUUUAGCCGCAAGUAGACAUGACGACCUUCAGCUGCUUCUCUCGCUCUUCCAUAUAUUAGUAAUGUUCAGCUGCUUCUCUCGCUCUUCUAUAUAUUAGUAAUGUACGCGUGUCAGAAUUUACUUUUUGGGGUGACAUUUUGCCCUUGGUUUAGCCUUUUAUCACUUUAGUUUACCUUUCAGAAUUUGUAAUAUCAACCUCUUUUAGGGCCUUCUUGGUAAAUCAAUGUUUACCCUCCCCAACACCUGUCACCAUCUUCAUCUUCUCUCUGUCUAUCCUUGUUCUCUGUGUCAUCUUCCCUUUGCUCCAGUAGAAGAAUCGUCUUCAACUUCAUCG
rnacentral:lncRNA from 1 species